AAGAAUAAGGGGGAAACAGGGGAGGGGUUCGCGGAAGCAGAUUGAGGGAGGAGGAAAGGCGGCGCGGUGGACGUCACUGCCACCGUCGCCGCCGCUGCUGACAAGGAGGGGAGAGAUCUGUGAGGGCCGAGGAAGGAGAAGGAGGAGAAGGCUGAGCUGCCACCGUCGACCUCGUCGUAGCCCACUCCUGCCAGAACUCACGCUGCCGCCUUGUCGUCGCGGAGGAGGGAACCCAGAACAGAGAAGCGCACGAAGAAGAGGAGCUGGCGGCUAGCCUUAUCGCCACCACUGCUUCCGUGUCUUCCAACGGCGCUGCUAUCGACGUCGUGAAUCACGGCCAGAGGUGGGAGUUGCACAACAGAGAGAUGGAGAGCACGACAGGGGAGACCAUCGCCGCCUGGGUCAACGUCGUCGGGCCUCCUUGCCGUCGCCACAGAAGCUGCCUUCACCGGUGCAGUUGGAGGCGCGAACGGAGGAAGAAUGCGCAUGGGGGUUGCUGUGUCACCAUCCGAGUUUGCUGCUGCCACCGCCUCUACGUUCUGCUAUUACUGUCUAAUUGAUUUUAAGAAAAAUUGCUGAUAUUUCUGGAAUCUCAAAUCGGAGAGGAGAUGAGGCGUUUAACCUUGUCACGGUUGCUGCCAUGGGAAUAGGUCCUGGAAACAACUAACAGAGCAGGCUGAGUCACAGUGAUUCUGGCUGCCGAGAACGGUUCUGUGGCUGUCGGGACCACUAUUGAAGCUUCUGUCCUUGGGUUCAGUCAGUAUCCCUUAGUACAGAUUAAGUUAUCGGAGCCACAUGUGCGCGUAAGGGUUGUAUUUGCUGCUGCAAAAGUGAACAAAGUUGUUAUGCAGGCUGUCGGUAACUUCGGGUUGAUAGAGGUUUCCGGUGACGCGUUUGGGUUAUGGUUUGCGUUUUGAGAUAGGGGCGCUUUCCAAAAACUAUGUUUUAUGUAUUGGAAUUAUUACAUAUAGAUACUGAUGUGAGACAUUCUGUAUUUGGUGAUUGUAUCUGCCUUAUGUAUUAUUUGAUUGUCUCGAAUGGUUAUGGAUGUUUGUUUGGCUGAAUUGUUGUGCAACUUUGUGAAAUGUAACGUUUUGAAGUUGAUUCUUUAAAGAUUUGAAAUCUGAGUUUGAUCCGUUGAGGAUUGAUUUGAAUUGAGUUAA